GCAUUGCACGCACCUGAGCUCCCCGGGCUGGCCCGGCCUUCCGCCACGUGCUCCGUCACUGCUUCAGGCCGGGACUCAGCACUGCCACUACAGAUGGGGUGGUGGCACAUGGGGAGGAUGGGGAUGCCAUGGGAUGGUGGCACAUGGAAGGGUGGAGGUGCCAUGGGAUGGUGGCACAUGGAAGGGUGGAGACGCUAUGCGAUGGUGGCACAGGGACAGGAUGGAGAUGCCAUGGGAUGGUGGCACAUGGACAGGAUGGGGAUGCCAUGGGAUGGUGGCGUGUGGGAGGAUGGAGACAUCCAGUUUGGCACAUGGGUAGGAUGGAGGUGCCAUGGGAUGGUGGCACAUGGGAGGAUGGAGACGUUAUGCGAUGGUGGCACAGGAACAGGAUUGAGAUGCGGUGGGAUGGUGGCAUAGGGACAGGAUGGAGAUGCCCGAGGAUGGUGGUACAUGGAAGGAUGGAGAUGGGGUGGGAUGGUGGCACAUGGAAGGGUGGAGACAUCCAGUUUGGCACAGGGACAGGAUGGGGAUGCGAUGGGAUGGUGGCACAGGGAUAGGACGGAGGCGCUGAGAAGCGGCGGCGCAGGGCAGGUGGGGGUGUUAUGGGCAGGUGGGGUUGUUAUGGGCCGGCGGCGCAGCGAAGGACGGAGGUGGGGACGCCGGGAGGCGGCGCAGUGC
rnacentral:lncRNA from 1 species